AACGAACGCUGGCGGCAUGCCUAACACAUGCAAGUCGAACGAGACCUUCGGGUCUAGUGGCGCACGGGUGCGUAACGCGUGGGAACCUGCCCUUAGGUUCGGAAUAACUCCCCGAAAGGGGUGCUAAUACCGGAUAAUGUCUUCGGACCAAAGAUUUAUCGCCUUUGGAUGGGCCCGCGUUGGAUUAGCUAGUUGGUAGGGUAAAAGCCUACCAAGGCGACGAUCCAUAGCUGGUCUGAGAGGAUGAUCAGCCACACUGGGACUGAGACACGGCCCAGAAUCCUACGGGAGGCAGCAGUGGGGAAUAUUGGACAAUGGGCGAAAGCCUGAUCCAGCAAUGCCGCGUGAGUGAUGAAGGCCUUAGGGUUGUAAAGCUCUUUUACUCGGGAUGAUAAUGACAGUACCGGGAGAAUAAGCUCCGGCUAACUCCGUG
rnacentral:rRNA from 1 species